UAGUUUAGUUAACUUUGGGCUUGAUUUCCAUUUCAUCUAAAUUAGUUGAGGUGCUUCACAAUCUUUGCCCACGGAAAAAACUGCCGAGGUAUCCCCUGAGGUAUAAGUACCACUGGUUGGGAAUCACUGGUUUAGGCUAUACAGAAGAAAUUUAUCACGGUUUGUGCAUCACAGGCACAUUUACAUUUUCCACACUAGCAGACAUGUGUACACACCCACUCGUACAGUACAACCACAAACACACAGGCAGGUUAUCCGUUUUGCAUGGUUGGAAACUUUGGCAUGCUGGAGAUAUGGCAUCUUGAAAAAUCCUCUCUCGGAUAAACCCCCUCUGUCUCUCUCACAAAACACCCACGAGCACACACACAAUCGGCUAGAUAUAACCCCUGAUAGUGGCGCACAUACACGUACACACACAGACCCUAUAACAUCUGUCUAAUCUUCUGUCUAACAUGGUGUAUAGAGCUCACAUCACCAUCAAGGCUCGGGGCCAGGGACGAUGUCGAGGCCAUGCACCGUGCGAGGCCUCGGGCUUUUAGCCCGGCUCGGGAAACGAGUGAAUCGCUGCAUCCUCCAAACAAACUUCCAGUAAUCCUCUAAAAAACACAAAAUCCUUGACAUUUUGGCUGAUUUCCAAUUUACAAAUUUAAUAUCGCCUAGUGAAAUAUAAAUGGGGAUUUGAUAGAUCUGACUGCAACCUGAGUAUAUGCAGAUUUUGUGUGCGGUGUGUUUGUGGGAAGAGGGGAAAGUCAGGUCAAUGCAAUUAUGAAAUAUGCAGCAAAGAAACCAAGAUAAAGUGCUGUGGGGCAUUUUGAAACAUGUCUUUUCUCUCGACACGUUAUUUUGGUGUGUGUGUGUGUGUUUUGUGCAGGAAUAUAAAAGGAGGUGUUAAUCA